rnacentral:rRNA from 1 species
AUACGUAGGGUGCGAGCGUUGUCCGGAAUUACUGGGCGUAAAGAGCUCGUAGGUGGUUUGUCGCGUCGUCUGUGAAAUUCCGGGGCUUAACUCCGGGCGUGCAGGCGAUACGGGCAUAACUUGAGUACUGUAGGGGAGACUGGAAUUCCUGGUGUAGCGGUGAAAUGCGCAGAUAUCAGGAGGAACACCGGUGGCGAAGGCGGGUCUCUGGGCAGUAACUGACGCUGAGGAGCGAAAGCAUGGGUAGCGAACAGGAUUAGAUACCCUGGUAGUCCAUGCCGUAAACGGUGGGCGCUAGGUGUAGGAGUCUUCCACGACUUCUGUGCCGUAGCUAACGCAUUAAGCGCCCCGCCUGGGGAGUACGGCCGCAAGGCUAAAACUCAAAGGAAUUGGCGGGG